UGCUUUAGCUGUCAAGUAGUUUGGUCUGAUAUCUAUUUAACAGUAUCACAACAACAAAUACAACAUCUUAACCACAACUUAGGAGUUUUUUUAGACAGGUCAU